rnacentral:ncRNA from 2 species
CCGCACGCGUCGGGAGAGCGCGCCGUUUGCUGUCGUCCGUAGUCACAGCAUGCAGCGCCGCCGAAGGGGCACACCCGCAAACUCUCAGGCAAAAGGACCGAACGCGUCGAA